rnacentral:lncRNA from 1 species
GUUGCUGUAGGUAAAACCAAAUAAAAAAUAUAAAAAUACUUGCCCUCUUAGUCAGAGACAUUUCAAGUCUAGGGUUGGGUUUCUCAUUUCUUUCUCUUCGAGUUCGAUUCCUUCUACAGCAGCUCCUCUCCUCCUUCUGUGACGACGAGAAGAUGCCGGCGACCACAUCUCCUCUCCUCUCAAGUAGGUCAUGCUCCUUCUUCUCCUUCUUCAUUUCGUUCUCCUUUCGAGAGUUUUUGGUCUGGGUAUCUUCCUUGUUGCUGCUGCUUCAUCGCUGAUUUCUUUGUUUUGUUUUUUUAGGUUUUCACAGUUAUGAUUUCUCUUUCUCACUCUCAUCUCUUCUUCUCUCUCUGGCCUCUGUCGUCGGUUAUUUCAAAGCAGAGAACCUUGGCUUUCUCAGGUCGUCUUUGUCUCCAUCUCAGGAGUUGGGUUUUUUUUUUGGUGGUCUCUCAGAUUCUGAAAACCGCAGAGCAUAGACCAGAUCUUCUUCUUCAUCACCAUCAUCAAUGUUUGUCAGAAAGCUUGUGGAGAAGGCUUCCAAAAAGGCAAGUGAUGUUCCUUUUCUCUUAACCUUCAAUGAAUUUUCAACCCAGCAAUCAAUCUCUCUGUUUCUUUAAGAACAUGGUUCAAUAUCAAUUCAAUGAGAUCAGUCCAUGCUUUUGAAUUUGAUCCACUGUUCUUCUCCUCCUCUUCCCUCCUCUUGUUCUUCUUGUUCUUGUGAAAAAAAACAGAGAAGGGUACUCAAAAGCUAGAAUUAAUAACGAAUUAAAUCUGUCAUUAAGAUAAUAAUUGUCGGGGGAUCUGCAAAUAAAGUUACUUGCUAUCAUUUAUGCUGUAUCCUUUAGCCGUUUGAUGCACGUUGCCUCCAAAUUUUUAAUCAUUUUAGUACUGAACAUAUGUAUAUUAUUAUGUAUGUCAGGUUAAUAAUUAUGAACAAAUAAAUAACUGCCAUAUACAUAUUUUGUUGAUUAUUUUGAUGACAACAGUAAUAAAGAUGGGAUGAAAAAUAAAUAAAAUAUUAUUGGUUGCGUUACAAACAUGAAAUUAGGGGAUUGGGUUCUUGUUUGCAUUUGCUUGAUAUAGACAAUGCUUAAUCACAUCAGGAAUGUGACAUGAUGGUAUAGGUGUCGGUUUGGUAGUUGAGAAUGUUACUAAAUUUUAAGUUGUAUUUGUUUAAUAUAGUGAUGCGUUACUUCAUUCAUUUAAUACGAGAAAAACUUUCAUAUCUUGGUGUCAUUGGUGUUAUUGAAUUACUCUUUUUAUUUCGAGAGAGGCAAGAAGAGAGGGAAAAUGCCAAUAGGGUAUGAGCCCAGUGAAAAAUGACAUUGAUUUGUAGAUCAUAGGUAUUAGGUUCGAGUCGUAUAAUACUUUGGUAAUAUGUGUAUGUGAGAAACUUCAUUCUCUUAUAGUUUAAACUGUCGUUUGUAUUUUUUUUUUUAAAAAAAAGAAGAAGCAAGGGACACUGAAAUAUAGCAAUAUUUUUCUUUAAUAUGAGUCAAUAUUAAGAAAGAAACGCGUUUAAUGGAUGGAUGGGGCCUUGAGGUGGGCGGUUGGAUAAGAAAAAAGCCAAUGUUUUCAUAAAAGAAUUUGUAAGAAAAUUUUGUUUAGUGUUAUAGCUUUGAACUCUAGUAUCGUCUCUUGGGUCUUGUCUUGUCUCAUCCAGUUUGGUAUUAAUUUAUCUAAUUGGGUUUACUUUUGACUCAUUCUCCAUCUUGCAAGGGGAUGUGACCUCACAAAGCUUAGCUUUAAAUUGGUUUUAACUAAAUGUAUGUCUCAAGUUUUAUUAGACCUCCUUUUAAACUUUAUUAAAGGGAUUAACACCCCCACCUCCAUAUAAAUAGCUGCCACGUAUUACCAUCGAAGAAAGAAAACCCUUCUUAAUCUUAAAAGAACCGUUAACAUAUUAUCCAUAUAGUAAUAGUUCUGAAAAAGCAUAUGUUAGGUGCUUUUCUAGAAAACAUUUUUAUAACGAGUUUUUAAUUCGAUGCCGAACAUGCCCUAAAUUUGUGUUCUAAUGUAUGUGGUGCAUGCCAUUGAAAAUGUGAAAGAUCGCUGACGCACUCCCAUCUUCCAUGAAUGAAUACUAUUAACAACCAAAAGCAUCAAUCUUAUUGUAUAAUUUGGAUCUUAUAUUGGAUCCAUUUUCCAGAAAACGAUUGAAGGAAAUAUAAUGGAUUUAUAGUCAACUCAUGGCAAACAAAAGAAAAGUUAAUAUUUGUAAAGACAAUAAAGAGAGAAAGCUAUCCAUGUGAUGGGCGGUGGUUCAAAUGUUUGGGAAAAUUCUACAGUGCGCCAGGCGCACUGAUGCGCCAUUUAUUAUAGACCAUUGGAUGAGUAGCUGGGGCAUGUGGGGUAAUCUAAAGCGUUGAUUGUUGGUUACCGGUUAAAUUGGUUGCUGUAGAUAAAAUCAAAUAAAAAAUAUAAAAAUACUUGCCCUCUUAGUCAGAGACAUUUCAAGUCUAGGGUUGGGUUUCUCAUUUCUUUCUCUUCGAGUUCGAUUCCUUCUACAGCAGCUCCUCUCCUCCUUCUGUGACGACGAGACGAUGCCGGCGACCACAUCUCCUCUCCUCUCAAGUAGGUCAUGCUCCUUCUUCAUUUCGUUCUCCUUUCGAGGGUUUUUGGUCUGGGUAUCUUCCUUGUUGCUGCUGCUUCAUCGCUGGUUUCUUUGUUUUGUUUUUUUAGGUUUUCAUAGUUAUGAUUUCUCUUUCUCACUCUCAUCUGGAUCUCAUUGGCUGGCUUUCUCUCAACCUCUCUGUGGCUGGCUUUCUCUCAACCUCUCUGUGGCAGGGAAGAACUCUAAUUUUCUCCCUCUCUUUCUAACUGUGCGAUUUAGAUGAUUCGCAUCAUAGCAGAAAGUAUUUCAACUUUGAAUUUUGGUCUAGACUUUCUAACAAAAUGAUUUAUAUGUCCUAUUUUAAUUUAGGGCUUAAUGAUUUGGGUAUUGAAUCGCAAGUCCUUAUUUAUUUUUUUUGGUAAUAUUUUGGAUUUAUAUAGGAAUUUGGUAAUUUUUUGAAAUUAUAAUUAUGUUUUUUUUUUCUUUCGAAUUGUUCUCUCUCCCACCUCUCCCCUUUCUCCCUCUUAGAUAUAUCGUUGCUAAUUUCUUACUUUUUUUAUUAUUUGAAUUUGAGGGUUGGAAGCUUGAGAGUUGUUCAUUCUUGAUAAUGAUAUGGGACUUUAAAUUGAUGGCCUUGAGACUGCAUAUUGUUCAAACCAAAAGCACUGGGUUCUUGAAGGAAGAUGCUAGAAGAUGGAGAUAGGAUUGAGACAUUUUAUGUACUCUGUUUACUUGAGAUCUCAAUGUUAAAAUAAUGAUCUAGAACCUGAGAUAGGAUUGAGACAUUUAUUGUCCUCCACGACAAUAGAGCAAAUUGGUGUCCGUUACAACCCAUGAGAUCCAUGACUUCUUAUAAUGUAUUAUUUUUGUGCUUGAGAUAAUUGAGUCUGAAUUGUA